GCUGUUACAAAUCGCGUCACUCUCUCGCCAGCUGAUCGGAGACACCGGCAAGAGUGGGAACCGACAGAAGGAGUAGCAGCAGCGGGAGCAGGAGCCUGUCCGCGGGGUGUGCAGACUGCGGAGCUGGUGGAUGACAA
rnacentral:lncRNA from 1 species